CUUUGCUCUCUCCCUCAUUCCUUAUCGGGGACUCUGUAAGGCAGGACGGCGAGUAAUGACUUCCCUCUGUGAUGCCUUGAGCCUCUUAUGGGAUCAUGAGGAUUGUGUGCUGGGAUCCCGGCAGACAAAGCUGAGAUUCAGCUGGAUAAAGCAGGCUGUAGCACAGCUGAUGUUUGUUCUCUGUGGAAAUCAGGCUCUUUUCUCCUAAGGUCAGUGCCCAAAAAGGUAAAGAAAACCUCAUGCAGUGUGCUUGCUUCUCCUCAUGGGCAGCCCAUUUGGAUACCCUGGAAAUUGAACCUAAUUUAAAAGGUAUCUGAAUCUAAUCAGUCACAGGAAGAAUGUGUGUAUACCAUAUUAUAGAGGAAGGUAAAUAAGAAAACUAGUAUCUUGAGUAGGGGAAUAUAGUACUCUUAGCAAUAGCAUGGGAAGUUUCCUGGUUAUGUGGAACAAUUCAGAUACAUCAAGAGAAGCCAAGAGUACAGGAUAAAGUUAUACUGGAGGAAAACAUCACUUUUUUAGGUCUUCAAGAUAAACAUUUCAGCAACAGGUCACAAAAGCAGAGUUAGAACUGGAGAGAAUAAAUUACAGUAGCUGAUGAAAAAGUUGAAAGAGAGAUUGUUAUCAUCCCAGGCUUUUUCAAAGGGAGAAAGAGUUGCAGGCAAUGAUGCAUGACCUGCAAAUCAUGUGCUGUGAAAUACAUCAGAAGUUGAAGUUUGAAGAUAUGAAUAUGAGAAGCUUCAAGAGGAAAACUCUACCUCAAGAAAUAAAAUUACCAUUCUGAAUGAAAAAGACAUAUUUCUAACCUGAAAAUAGGGAAAUUAAAUUACUUCUAUUAAAAAAAGCAGCAGAUAAUUAAAAAUAAAAACAUCUUGUAAAUUUUACUAAGAGCAGAUCAAUACACAACAAACAAGCAAACACCUUGUUGUUUUAAUAUAGAGUACCAAACCUUUAGUUUUCUGUUAGCGUAUUUUUUUUUUUUUUGGAGACAGGGCAUUCCUCUGUCACCCUGGCUGGAACGCAGUGGCAUAAUAGCUCACUGUAACCUCAAAUUCCUGGGCUCAACUGAUCUUCCUGCCUUUGCCUCCCAAGUAUCUGGGACUACAGGUGUGCACCACCACACCUGACUAAUUUUUAAAACAAUUUUUUUUGUGCAGUUGGGGUCUCACUAUGUUGCCCAGGUUGGUCUUGAACUCAUCCUGGCCUGAAGUGAUCCUCCCACCUUGGCCUCCCAAAGUGCUAGGAUUAUAGGUGUGAGCCAUGAUGCCCAGGCUUAUAUUAGUGUAUUUUUAAAUAUCAAAGCUCAAUCUUUAGAAAGACUUAUAGAUAAUUCCUUUCUAAUUAUGGCCAACUUGCUCACACAAAAUUCCCUUCAUAAAUUUAUCCUUCACAAACCUUAUCACAACUUACUCAGGUCUUUGACAACAUACUUAAAUUUUCUGCUUUGUUUUAAACUUCCUCUUCCUUAAAUACCCAGUCAUUUUACUUUAGGACAAAAAUUUGCCAUGCAAGAUUCUUACUCAUACAAAAUUAUUCUCUUUUCUUUUAAACCUUCUUUACUGAAAUUUAUUCUCAUACGCAUAACUGUUUUUAUGUCUUUUUCUCCUAUUUACUGUUCUUUUUUAUUUCCUUUUAAAAUUUACUUUUUGGAACAACCUU
rnacentral:lncRNA from 10 species